rnacentral:rRNA from 1 species
GUGGGGAAUUUUGCGCAAUGGGCGAAAGCCUGACGCAGUAACGCCGCGUGGAGGAUGAAGGCCCUCGGGUCGUAAACUCCUGUCAGGGGGGAAGACGGGGAUGGAACGAAUAGUUUCAUCUUCCAGACGGUACCUCCAAAGGAAGCCCCGGCUAAUUCCGUGCCAGCAGCCGCGGUAAUACGGAAGGGGCAAGCGUUGUUCGGAAUCAUUGGGCGUAAAGGGCGCGUAGGCGGUUUCGUAUGUCCGCUGUGAAAGCCCACGGCUCAACCGUGGAAAGUCGGUGGAAACUGCGAAACUUGAGACUGGGAGGGGCUGGUGGAAUUCCCUGUGUAGCGGUGAAAUGCGUAGAUAUGGGGGAGAACACUCGUGGCGAAGGCGGCCAGCUGGACCAGUUCUGACGCUGAGGCGCGACAGCGUGGGGAGCAAACAGG